rnacentral:rRNA from 1 species
AAACGACUCUCGGCAACGGAUAUYUYGGCUCUYGCAUCGAUGAAGAACGCAGCGAAAUGCGAUACUUGGUGUGAAUUGCAGAAUCCCGUGAACCAUCGAGUCUUUGAACGCAAGUUGCGCCCGAAGCCUUCGGGCYGAGGGCACGUCUGCCUGGGCGUCA